UACGUAGGGAGCAAGCGUUGUCCGGAAUCAUUGGGCGUAAAGCGCGCGUAGGUGGCUUCGUAAGUCCGUUGUGAAAGUCAAAGGCUCAACCUUUGAAAGCCGAUGGAUACUGUCGAGCUCGAGUCCGGAAGAGGCGAGUGGAAUUCCUGGUGUAGCGGUGAAAUGCGCAGAUAUCAGGAGGAACACCAAUGGCGAAGGCAGCUCGCUGGGACGUGACUGACGCUGAGACGCGAAAGCGUGGGAGCAAACAGG
rnacentral:rRNA from 1 species